rnacentral:lncRNA from 1 species
CAAUUACUGAAUAGGACAUUGAAAAUUAUAAAUGCAAGAAAGGGGUUUCAUCCCUAUGUUGUAUACACACUGCUUUCCUGCUGGCUGUGGAGCUCUGCUAGCUGUAGAGAUGCCUUGUUAUGACAUUACAAAUGAAUAGGCAACAAACAGGUGUUCACAUGAAGCUCUGUUGUUGUUGGAAAAUGGCAAUGGCAACAUGGAGGGCAAGGUAAUGGUACAGUAGGGUCAAUACUUGUCUGGAUACCAAGGCAUCACCACAAUGGGUUUGUCCAGGUGCAUCUGGCUGCCAUCAUAGUCAUGCCAGAGACAGCUGGAACAUAAAUGAGUCAGAUUGGCUCUGGCUUAAAUUAAGCCAGUCUCGAUUCACCCACGAUGAGUGAUAGGACAGGGCUUAUGUUAAGUAAGCAACCUAGAAAAAGGAUAUAUCAAGUAUAUCUGGUUGCAGUAGUGGCAUACUAAGGAAACCUGUUGGGUUAAGAGACCGCUAGUAAAUAGAAUUUUGCUUAUUGGUAUAAUGGCCAUUUAUCUAUUAAGUAAAGGCAAAACAGAUUACUGAAAUUGUGGGGCUAACUGAAAAGGAAUUCUAUAAGGAACUACCAAGAAAAAGGGUAAAAUUUAGAAUGAAAUGGGUCUUUGCUUUAUUGUAGUCAAGUUCAACUGUAUGUAAAUAGCUAGGAGGCAACCUGAUGGAAGGAAUUCUUGUAGACACAUAUUUUGCUUUUAUAGUUGUCAUCACAUACAUUUUGCAUCAAGCUAGAAGCUAGCCUAAAAUUAUAUAAUGUGAGUCAGAAUUUUGAGCCAAUUACUAAGUUUCCAACACAAUAGUGGCUUUGUGAGUGCAUCUUGGUAUGAGAUCAGACUUGAAUCAUGGUAAUAUUGCAAAACAUCCCUUUGAUUUAUCCCAUUGGCUUUACGGAGGAGCUGGACAGAGACCUUUGCAUUUAAUGACUCCUGAAACACAUCAACCAUAUUUGUGUGAAAGAAACAUAUUAAAACUGACUGAUUCACAAAAACUUUCUGGGUUGCUUGCAGACUAUUUGUAGAACAUGAGCUGAAAUAACAGAAUACCUUCCCUAAAUAUUAAAUGUUUUAAAAAUCUGUAUGAUGUGAUCAUCCAAGAACCAGCUACAAUUUUUAUAUUUUCUUCUCAAAAACAUCUAACGCUUUGAUAUCCAUGCUUGAUUAUCAGGAUCUAUUGCAGUAGAAGGCAAGCUUAUUUAAUGACAGUUAAUCUCAGAUUUAGACACUAUAAUGGAAUAACUUUUGUUUUGGCAUAUAGCAAAAAUACUGUCUUGAGUUUUGUUGCAGUUCCUUCUAAGGAAAUAGUAUAUCGUUCAAAUUGAUGAAAAACAACAGGAAAAACUCGGCCGUUAUUAGGACCUCAAGAUCGAGCUGCAAAGGCUCUGGCAUAAACCAGUACAGGUGGUCCCUGUGGUAACAAUAAACAUUGACAAAUUUACGAUCUGUCAACUGCAAAAGGCCACCUUACUGGGAUUUGCACGCAUCAUCCGAAAAUACAUCACACAGUUCUAAACACUUGGGAAGUGUUCAACUUGUGAUUUUGUAGCAUUGUGAAAUCUAGCAUAUAUAUCUCAUUUGCUGUGUCAUACUAUGUCUUUGUGUCAAUAAAAUAAUAAUAACAUCUCAUUUCAAACAAAGGGGCCAAAUAUUACCCAGCCUUGAGAUCAUAUUAAAUUCAUUCAGCCUUUCUUCUGUAUAGGUCUGUAUAGAAUUUUGCUUUCAGCUAGUUAUACUGAGAAUUUAUCAGGCAUCGGCCUAAUUUUAUCCAUGGGAGGCUUCAGAUAUCUUUUUUCUGUUUUAGUACAAUUCACUCCAAAGAAAAACACAUACACUUACAUACCAAAGGUACCAAGAGACAAGUGAAACAAGAAGUUCCUACUUU